rnacentral:rRNA from 1 species
AUGCGUGUGUAUAUAAGCGCUUGUGUCUGUACUGAUGUUAAAAAAAGAAAAACAGUGCGCCUGACUCGUGCCAUUCUCCUCGUAGUAUAUAUGCAGCACCAGCCCAACACACGACUCAUCAGCUCGGCGAGCAGACCAAAGAGGCAGCAAAGACUAGGAGGAGAUGCACAACAUGCAUCCAUGUCGGGACCUUCAGGCCUCGCCGUCUCGGCAUCGGCGGCGCUCCUCUUCUCCGCCUCCAUCAUCCUCUCGGCCGUCCCUGCAGCCAGAGCCCAGCAGCAAACCGAGCACGAGGAGGAGUUCAGCUACUCAGUGGACGCGGAGAACGGGCCGUCGCACUGGGGCGAGAUCAAGGAGGAGUGGUCGGCGUGCGGCGAGGGGGAGAUGCAGUCGCUCAUCGACCUCGCCGGCCCGCGCGUGACCCUGGUGCGCCGCCUUGGCCACCUCAACCACUCCUACGCACCCGCCAACGCCUCCAUCGUCAACCGCCGCCACGACAUCAUGGUGCGGUUCGAGGGCGACGCCGGGAGCGUGUCCAUCAACGACACGGCGUACCACCUCCGGCAGCUGCACUGGCACGCGCCCACGGAGCACAGCGUCAACGGCCGCCGGUACGACAUAGAGUUGCACAUGGUGCACCAGAGCGCCCAGAACAAGACCGCCGUCAUCGGCGUCUUCUACGAGAUCGGCGCCCGCGACGCCUUCCUGCACAAGCUGGAGCCAUACCAGGAGUGA